CUCGCUCGCGGAGUCGGCGCCGGUGUUCGCCGCCGCUGUGGAUAACGGUCGCGCGCUCGGGUUUCUCAUCCCCCCCCCCCCCUCUCUGGCGGCCUUCUUUCUCCGCGGCGGGGGCUGGCUCCUGGGGGGGCGGAGGGCUCCCCCUCCCCUCGCGUAGGGCGGGCGCGUGGCGGCCGGUGGAUGCGCCGGAGGGAAGCGCUGCCGGAGAGGAUUUACUGCGCCCGGUACCGCCGCGCGCCGCUGCCCCUUGCCCUGCGUGCGGCUCCGCGGAGCGCGGCGAGCGGCCAUGGACGAGAAGUCCCUGCCCGAGCUGAUGGCGGAGAAGGACUCCCUGGCCCCGUCCUUCACCCACGCGCUGCGGCUGGGGAACCAAGAAAUUGAGAAAUUUCAAAAAGGGGAAGGAAAGGAAGAAGAAAAGUAUAUUGAUGUAGUGAUAAACAAAAAUAUGAAGCUGGGGCAGAAAGUAUUAAUUCCAGUAAAACAAUUUCCUAAGUUCAACUUUGUGGGAAAACUUUUGGGUCCACGUGGAAAUUCACUGAAACGUUUACAGGAGGAAACAUUGACAAAAAUGUCUAUAUUGGGAAAAGGUUCCAUGAGGGACAAAGCCAAGGAAGAAGAGUUGAGAAAAAGUGGGGAAGCAAAAUACUUCCACUUAAAUGACGACUUGCAUGUUCUAAUUGAAGUGUUUGCCCCACCAGCGGAGGCGUAUGCCAGAAUGGGACAUGCUUUGGAAGAAAUCAAGAAGUUCCUCAUCCCUGACUACAAUGAUGAAAUCAGACAGGCACAGCUCCAAGAAUUAACAUAUCUGAAUGGUGGCUCAGAAAAUGCAGACGUUCCAGUUGUUCGCGGAAAACCACCAAUUCGAGCACGAGGCGUACCAGUCCCUGCUUUGGCCAGGGGCCGUGGAGGAGUACCACCCCCACCAGCAGGUGUACCAAGAGGAGCACCAGCUCCCAGGGGAGUACCUCUCAGUAGAGGUACUGUCAGUCGUGGUCGUGGACUCCUAGCCCCUCGAUCAAGAGGAGUAGUACCUCCACCUGCAGGCUACCGGCCUUUGCCACCACCCCCAGCACAAGAAACGUAUGGAGAAUAUGACUAUGAUGAUGGAUAUGGUACUGCUUAUGAUGAGCAGGGUUAUGACUCCUAUGAUAACAGCUAUACCACCCAGGCACAAAGUGGAGCAGAUUACUAUGAUUAUGGACAUGGGCUUAGUGAGGAGACAUACGAUUCUUACGGUCAAGAGGAAUGGACCAACUCAAGGCACAAGGCACCUUCUGCAAGGACAACAAAGGGAGUCUACAGAGACCAGCCAUAUGCCAGAUACUGAUUGUACUGUCUGAUGUUGUGAAAUAUCCAAUCUUCACCAUCCUGUAUACUGUCCCAAGUAAUUUUUUUCUAUAAACAAUCCCUUUUUAGUCAAUCAAAGUGCUUAAAAAUUGAACGGAUGGACUGAACUUAAAUAUUCUACUGAAAGAACAAUCUGGACAGAAAGUUAUGUAAAACAAGGAACUUUGUUAUUUCCAAACUGUAUUUGAAAAAUAGGUGAUCAAAAACAAAUAACCUCUGAUUAACUAGUGUUAAACAAAAACUAGGUUUACUAAAAAUGUUAAUCCAUUCUUUUAACAUAAGCAUAACCUUUUAUUUUAAAGGUUUUCAGCAAUUUAGUUUUUAGUUUUAUUUUUCAACCAUUUUGCUAGUUUUUUUUUCUCUUGCAAAUAUGCGUAAAAAGGGAAGCAAAUUACAAAUGCAAAUAAUGUGGUAUUUUGUAACUCAAGUCUUGAAAUGUUCUGUAGUGUUAAGCAAAGUUUACUCUUGCUUGAUACUAAAUAAACUUUUGAAAGAAAAUCAGUGUGUCUGAGAGUAAUUUUAUGUUAUAGUUUAUUUUAGAAUAAACCUUCAUAAAUAGUAGUAAACAGGGAGAAAUUCAUCUAACAAUGAUCAAUAUAAAAGGCUCAUACUAAACACUGUACAGCUUUUUUUAAAAAAUGGUAUAAACCUAAAUGUACAUUUAUAUACUCACAAUAGAUUUAAAUGCUGUUUAAAGUAUCCAAAUGGUAUGGAUCUGCUUGAAUGCCACAUUUAAAAAAAUAAGCUUGGUUAAAAAUGGUUUAAAAUAGCUAAUGAAUUUUCUGAAAAAGAUGUGACUAGUUUUCAUCUUGUUGAGCAUUUUUUCACUAGUGCAACUUUGGAAUUUUUAUGAGAAUUUUGGUACCUUAAUGACUACCUCGCUCCGUGCUGGAAGCAAUAAACACAAAGCUUUUAAAGACUUUCUGACUUGACUAAUUGAGGUCGCUUUCGUCAGAGGCAGAGGAUGUGUAACCCUUAAAACGGUCAUCAUUUGCAAAGGAAACACUACACGUCUUGGGAGCCAACAGAACAGAAACCUAAAUCUGUUGAUGCUUUGGGACUUCUGUUGUGAUUCUUAUGGACUGCUGAGACUGUUAUAUUCACCAAUGUGCCUAGUGAACGAUGAGAUUCAACUUUGGAAUGUGAAAAGGCAGUUCUGUUUCUCUUCUACUGUUUUACAUACUGUAGAAAUAAAGUGUCUCCUAUUAUAUCCUUUAUUUUUAACAGCUGCUAUAAAAGCCCUUAAUUGUUUAAUGACUUAACAAUGUUAUUUAUGUAGAAGUCAAUAAAGAAUCUCCAUUUAAAUCUCCAGUACAAAGCAAUAAUGCAUCCUUAUGUUCCUUCAGUGACUUUGUAAUUCCUACACAGCAGCUAUACACAAACCUUGUGUGGAAUCUUAUGACUAGAGACCCACAGUUCACUUGUGGAAGUGGUUUAUCUAUUGUAUGUGCAGCAUGGUCAAGUAAAGAUGAAAACAAGUGUGUUACACAGAAGCUAUUGUAUUACUCAUAGGCUAACAGUAAACAGAUAUGCCUGGAGCAAGGUUGAUUAAUAAAAAGAGAAUAAACCUAAUUUCAGAUUCCUUCAGUAAUGUGUACAGAACAUGAAGGUCAUAAUCACUGUGGACUGUAAAAUAAUGUUCAUCAUUUUUCACUUACUUCAUGUGAUUAUAAUUUUACAUCUCCAGAAGUAUAUUCUCUACUCUUACAAGAUCACAUGUUUUCCAGUAAAAGAAAUUUCCAGCUAGUUUUAAUGCCUUGAUAAAUAUGCACUCUUGUACCUGGUAGACCUGUUUCCUCAAUGCUUUCUCAGUUUUAUAUUAGUCUUGAUUUGUGAUAAUUUGUAACACAAAUAAACUUCUGGUAAUUUAACCUUUUCUUACUGCAUAGCUGAUUGCAAAUCCAACUGCUUUCUUUCCAUGCUUCAGAAAUUUACUUUCAACAGAUACAUUUUUGUUUCUUGUAGCUAUUGAAAACUUACCAAGUUCAUGCACUGGGCAUGCUAGAUAAUCAGUUUCCAUAUUCUGACCAGACUUUUUUCUGUUUUGCUGAGCAUAUAUUUUCAAGUCAAAUUAU